AUCCGGCUGACGAAUCCCGAAUAGGACGAAAUGCGCUUCCUGAAU
rfam:Schistosoma mansoni strain Puerto Rico chromosome 1, complete genome